rnacentral:rRNA from 1 species
CCAAGGCGUCCGAUCGCGACCCCAG